GGCCCAUAGCUUGGUGGUAGAACAUCUGCCUUGCAUGGAGAAGGUCCCAAGUUCAAUCCUUGGCAUCUCCC